GCGGGUGUAGCUCAGCUGGUUAGAGCGCCGCCCUGUCAAGGCGGAGGCCGCGGGUUCAAGUCCCGUCACUCGCGCCA
rnacentral:tRNA from 1 species